UCACAGCUGUUCUGGUAGCUAAUCAUAUGUCACGUUACUUGAACCGCAGUUGCUAUCAUCAUAGGAGGAACUAGUUAGCUUUACAUGCCACACUGAAUAAUCGGUAAACAUUCAGUUGAAAUCGGAAGAUUUAACUUCACAGAUAGAAGCGAUAAAGUAAUUAAGGUAAACAUGACCAUGGAGGAACCAGGUGCUGAUAUAGAGGUGACUGUCAAAACUUUGGACUCCCAGAGCCGAAGUUACACUAUAGGCGGACAGUUGACAGUGAAAGAGUUCAAGGAGCACAUUGCCACUUCAGUGGACAAACAGGCUGAUCUACCAGGGCCGAGUUCUGCAGGAUGAGAGGACCCUGACAGAGUACAGGGUGGUCAUUGCAUUAUGAAAAACUGGACCUAUACUAUUCAGUCUGGAAAAUAUUAUUUGACAUCACAAGGCAGGCCUGAGCUGCAAACUCUAGUGUGGAGUGGAGAGUGGCUGAACUCCACCCAGUGUAUCCUGCUGCAGGAGAUAGAGCGUCACUUGGACCCACUAGAGACACACGAUACCCUCAACAGAUUCAUGCUUUACGGUCAGCCCAGGAGUCAUCAAUGAUUCCAUACUGUGAUGGAAUACCAGGAAUCGAAGCAAAGCUGAGAAUCUAAAAAUUGAGAUACAUACUAUUAUUAAUACAUCACAUUGCUGUUUAAUUAAUUAUUGCAUGCAUACAAUGUACAUAUUACAUUUGAUGUGUUUUAAAUUGUAUAACAAGGACAUGGUAUAGCUGCCCAAAGGGUUAAUGUGCUUAGAGAUGCAAAGAAUAUUUGCAUGUUUGCACUGUGGUCCUCAAUGAAAAUCGUGACAGUGCCUUAUUGGAUAAUAAAGUGGGGAAGGCGUUUCGAACCUAAAGGGCUUGUAUAAACAUGGACAGAUUUGUCCAUCUCCCUCAAUAUAAAGGUUUGUGGUUUUGGUACAUAAUUUAACCUAACUAUAGAACAAAUGGACUUGGACCACCAGAAAAAAUAUAUAUUUUCUAAUAUCUAAAAUAGCAUUAUGUCUCAUUGAACUGUUUUAUUUCUAUAUAUGUAUAUAUAUAUUAUAUAUGUGUGUGUUUCUUUCAGAGCUUUGUCAUUUAAACAAGGCACUGAGGUAAGUAUCUAAAUUAUUCAUUCACUUUUAUGUUUAUGCACUUAUCACUACUGCUCUUCCAUUUUGUGGUUAUUAGAUUACAUUUGCUCAUCCAUCGCCACAAUCUAUUACAGGCUGCCUGCUAUGUGUUGGAGUCUUCCAUCAAGAUCAUGCUAUGCAUCGAAAUAGGUUUCCUUUUGAGAGUUUAUUAUUAGCGUAUUGCCCACUCUAACUUUGAUCUAACUCAGAAACUUGGAACUAGUUGAAAUGAAGAUCUCUCCUCUCAUUUCCCAUGUGUAAUAGUAAAAACAAAUAAACAGAAAAAAAGAACAGCUACUCCAAGUCUAUUCCAAAGUCUCAGAAUGUUUAGAAUAGCACUAAUGACCCAGGCGUAGACGUCUCAGCAUUUUCCAUCGCUCAUUUAAACUUGCAGUGACAUGGCACACAGUUAUCAAGUUUUCGAAGAAGGGCCUGUUUCCAGGCAAAUAUUUCAAUUUCACGCAUUUCUCUUUUUGUGAGGGAUGACUUAACUGUCAUGUUUCACUGAACUGCAUUGUUCCACUCUUUUUGCCUACCUUCAUCAGUGGAGGCUGCUGAGUGGAGGAUGGCUCAUAAUAAUGUCUGGAAUGGAGUCAAUGGAAUGGUAUGAAACACCAUUGACUCUAUUCCAGCCAUUAUUAUGAGCAGUCCUCCCCUCAGCAGCCUCCACUGACCUCUAUCUAAAUACCAUUCAUCAAUUUAGAAAAUAAUCCAGGGCUAGUUAACCGGGGGUGUAGCCUCCCACGUAGUUACACUUACAGUGCAGGGGAAAUUCCCAUGAUGCUGCAGACGGAGCAGAGGCUCAGAGCACACUGUCGUUCACAACUAGAUUGGUCAUCCACAGUUCUCUUCUUCAUUUGCUGUAAUGUAAUAAUACACAGGGUGACUGAAAGCAGAAACGGUGAAAUUUGCUUUCACCUGUCCUUUUAUUUCUUGUAAGGUUAUUUCUUUGACCUUUCUUUGACCUGUUCGAAAUCAAGAAAAUAUGGGUAUAUGAAGGGGUAGACUAGGGAUUUGGGGUGCAUUGGAUACAUUGUGCAUGUAAUUUCUAUGGCUUAAAUACUAUAACAUUUGAGACCAGACUCUCAUGUCUGGUCCUAUAAAAACACCUACAGUAUACACUACAUUGGCAAUAAACCUUUUCCUAUACAAGAGGGCAUUGAAAUAGAGAAUUCUUUGAGUUAAUAGUUUCUCAAAAUUAUGUCAAAGCCAUUGAUUGAUGUAAAAUAGCGAGACUUUCAUCUGCACUGUCAUCAGUAAUAAAGCACAAUGUCCAGUCAAUAUAUUUGACAUCAGGUGAUGUGGGUUUUUACUUGUAGCCUCAAGGAAAGGUCCAACAACAGUGGUGUCCUUUUGCCUAUGUAACCAUUUGAAUCCUAUGCUGUAGCUCUGGACUCAUUCAUAAAGCAGAGCAGGAGUGCUGAUCUAGGAUCAGUUUCGCCUUUCAGAUAAUGAAUAAGAUUACAUAGAGAGGGAACCUGGUCCUAUCAGCACUUCUACUCUGAGAAGCUUUAUGAAUAAGGGCCCUGGUUAGAAAUGAUUGACAUACCAGGGGUUGCUACCAGUGACGGGAGACAAUCGAUGGCUGAGAUAGACAGUCAACAUGUAGCUAACAAUGUCACCAUUCAAGUACCUCUGUGUUUCAACUAUGCCCGGGGCUAAUAUGAAUGUCAGAAAAUAUCCUGAAACCAUGAUGAAAUCCUUGUCCCUCACCCUCCCCCUCUCCACUUAUCUCUCUGAAUUACGCACUUUCAAAGACUUGUGACGCACCAACAUGAAGACACUUGACUUCCCAGAUGCACUUUGGCAUGAAACAACUUGUUGACCGACAGAAAGUACAGAGUACAGUGUAAGAAUUUACUUCCUGUCUCUGUCAGAAUGACUUUAGAUUCUUACCUUUCUCUCACCUGUACGAUGUCCAUAAUAGGACAGCCUCAAUCUCAGCAGGACAUCUUUCAGUCUCAGUAGGACUUGUUUCAAUAAGUUAAUAUAGUCACAGUACGGCUGAGAUUCUAUUCCCAGUGUGUUCUUCAUUUCAGUAUAGUUUCUCAAAUAUCAAUGCCAUUUACAGUAUAUGAAAACAUAUCUUGUUAAGCCCAAGAAUAGGCAGUUAAACUCCCCCGCAUAAUAUUUCAUUACUGUCAAACGAUGGUUCUUCCAGCCCACCUCUAACACAGCUGAUUGUUGUUGAGCAGUUCGCUAGUUAUAUUGAUGAGCAGUUCACUAGUGAAACACUAAUCAGAUGGUAGUGCUGGGCAGAAACAGACUUUACUUCUCCCUGACCAGGAAUGGUGACAGCUGGUGUAUAUACCAAUAUUGAGCCGAACACAUUCUACGAUGCUCUACAGAUUGACAUCAAUGAUCUAAAACUGGACAGAAACUGAUCAAUGAUCUGAAACUGGACAGAAACUGAUCAAUGAUCUAAAACAGAACAGAAACAGAACAGAACAUGAUUAGAUUGAUGCCAGAAGGUUUCUGCUUUCAACAACAGCAGUGCCUGAACUUCUGCAUUUCAGGAAGAUGGGGAAAAGACUUAAAGGCUAACAUGACUGAAGGCCUUGUCUGACAACUUUGCCUGCAUUGGGUAAGCACCUAAACCGUCUGUGGCAUGUCAAGAAAAGCACAGGUUGAUUGGGGAUGCCCCAUGGAGCAAGAAACCAAGAGCAGGAAAGUUACAUAGAAAUCUACCAACAAACGCUCUCUCCUUCUCUCACUUUCGUUCUCUCCACUUUCCAAAAGUUACUUUCAGUCCUGUUUAUGAAAUCAACAGUGUUCAACUUCACGCAUCUGCAUUUCCAUACCCUAUGUAUCAGGAAUCAAGGUAAGACCUAAGUGCAGACUGUGAAGUAACCAUGUUUAAUGACAGGUCAAGGCAGGUACGGGUCGAUAAUCCAGAGUGGGAGACAAGGUACAGGCAUGCUCAGGGUAAGGGGCAGGCAGAUGGGCUCAGAGUCAGGACAGGCAAUGGUCAAAACCAGGAGGGUGAGAAAAGAGACUGCAGGAACUGAGAAACAAAACGCUGGUUCACUUGACAAACAAGACGACCUGGCAGCAGACAAACAGAGAACACAGGUAUAAGUACCCAGGGGAUAAUGGUGGAUACCUGGAUGGGGUGGACACUAGCACAAGGACCGGUGAAACAGAUCAGGGCAUGACACUGGCUAUUUCCAUGCCCUAUGUAUGUAAAGUCAGAUUGAGUCACUGUGGCUGCCAGCUGGUUUAUGAAACCAUGAAGAAAACUCCCUGUCAUUUUUUUUGUACCUGUGGAACCCACUGACACUGACCUAUAAAUAUGUGUGGGAAAUCACAUGCCACCCACAUCUGUCAAUGUUGUGCCUGACUCAUCUGUAGCCUUACUAGCCUAUAGUUCCUCGCCACAGGGAUGAUAGUGGUUCUGACACCUUCUCUUUGUCUGUACUGUCAUGCUUGAAUAAAAGUAAAGAUACCUUAAUAGAAAAUGACUCAAGUAAAUGUGAAAGCGAACUGAAUUUUAAAACGGAUUCUAAAUGCAUUUGACAUGUUGAAUAUGUGAAGCUAUGGUAAAUUUGAUAGUUUGCAAAUGUGAUACGCAGACAAUGAAUGCAAUAUCCACCAUAUUGAAACAGAAUAUAUAAAUAUUGAAUUUGAAUAUUCAAUUAAGUUGUAAUAUCAUUUUAAAUCUGAAUGCAAUAUUAAUUCAAUUACUUUUUCAAAUCAUGAAAUACAAGUUAAAUUGAUUAAUUCUAUGAUUAAAUGUGUGCAUUACAAAUGUAAAAAUAUUGCAUUUGAAUUCAGUAGCUUAAUGCAAAUUUUAAAAAUUUUUGAAUUCAAAUAUAGUUUCUGUUGUCAUUGAAAUCGCUCUGUAAUCGCUCCAAUCGUUCCUUUUCUGUUCCGCAUCAGAAAUGUACUUUUGGGUGUCAGGAAAAAUGUAUGGGAGUAAAAAGUAGAUAUUUUCUUUAGGAAUGUAGUGGAGAAAAAGUGUUAACAUUUUGAAAUGGUAAAGUGAUCAAUAUUAUAAAACUAUAAAAACAGCUGAAAACCCGAUGUUUCCAUGUCAAAUGGUUUUGUUAUUUUUCAGUCUUCUGUGAUGUAUAUAAAGUGUAAUAUUGGGAUGCAAACUCAAAAUAGAAAACAUUUAAACCAGA